GAGGCUCUUCAGUAUUGGCCAAGAAUCUAAUAUUGGAUCGUACCAAAACACAGGCAUUUGCUUUCCAAAUUGCAUCCAUAAAGAUCCCACGGUCAAAUGCUGCCUUCUGACAGCAUUAACCAAGAUUUUAAGGCUUCACAUUCAGAUCAUUAAAAAUGCCCAUCUGUCUUUUUUAUUUAAUAUGCCAUCAGUUCUCCAGUUUGGAUAAAAUCUGAGGUCCUGCCCCUAUUGAAACUUCCCAGGUUUGCCAUGCCAUCUCUAUGUUAAUGAGGUUGCAAGAGUGCAAGAGUCUUUUGACUCCUCCAAAGAGAGAUCAGACAUGAGACAGCAAAGGAAUAAAACUGGAGCAGUUAAGUAAUAGCACCUCUCAGGUUUUGACUGGGCACAUUGCUGACCUGGAGAGACGGAACUUCUGAGCCUCGUUUGUGAUUAGAUAUGGCCAUCCAAAUGCUGGGCAAUGAGAUGUAAACAGAUAUGAUAUAUGCAAUUGACAAACAAAGCCCUGUAAAUGAAGAUGCAUGCUUGCACUUCUCUUUGACUCUGCUGUUUGCUGGAGGCAGACAUGAUGACCAGAGAGACUGUACACCUUAGAAGCCAAGAUGCAGACACCGUGGUGGACAUUGGUGGAGCUUCCCUUCUACACCUCAACUACCCAUUACUGGGUUUUGCAUGAGAAGGAAAGAAAUUUCUAUCUUGCUGAGCCUGUGUAUUUUGUAUUCUCUUUGUUAUAAGAGCUUGAUUGUCCCAUUUUAAUACAGAAUUCUAAUUCUUCGUGCUGAUUCUUUUGGAGAAGAGUGUCAAUGAGCAGUAGAAUCCCCUCUACAAGGGCAGCUGAAAGAAAAAGCAUCUUCAAGUUAGCAUACUGUCCCUUCUAAAUCAUCGUAUUAAAAAAGUUAAUUCUUUUUGAAUGUUAAUUCUAAUAUGAAAUGUUGAGGAAAGCUUCAGAGAAAAAGUGGCAUUUGCACUGAGACUUUAGUGUCAUGUGCACAUUCGCCAGCUGGAGGAAAUCUAAACAAAGACAUGGAAACAUGUGGCUAAAAGUAUAGAGUUUCUGGUGAGAUUGUAAAAGCAAUUUUAUGAUGGCAUAUUUGCAAGAUUGCUGUGCACUUUGUUAAGGAGUUUGGAUUUAUUCCACACACAAUGAAGAAGUGUCUAACCAUUUAAAUUCUGGAAUUGACAAGACCAAAUCUGUGUUUAGAAAAAAUACUCUGGCAGCAUGGGAAGAAACAUUUGAAGAGAAAGUGGAGGCAGGGAACCAUGGCUUUCAAAUUCCUGCCAUUCACUUAAUUUUGUCAAGGGUUCUAUCUCUAUCCAUCCAUCUACCUACCUACCUAUAAUCUAUUUACCUACCUAUAAUCUAUCUAUCUAUCUAUCUAUCUAUCUAUCUAUCUAUCUAUCUAUCUAUCUAAUCUAUCAUCUAUCUAUCUAUCUAUCUAUCUAUCUAUCUAUCUAUCUAUCAUCUGUCUGUCUUCAUACCUACCUACUUUACAGUAAGCAUAUUUUUAAAUUUGGACUCAGUGUGUUAUAAUUUUUAACACAGUAAAAUACAUAUUUAUUUUUAAAGAGUUUAUCAUUGUCCCUCUUUAAUCUAUCCUGUAUGUCUCCAUGGUAAGCAUACUACUCUCAGGACAAAUAUUCAUCUGGUGCACACUGGGAUGGCUUCCCACUUGUUCCAGUAUUGAAAUGUUGCCCUACCAGUUGUUAUAUAGCUGAUGCCUGAGCUCCUAUCACUCACCUCCACAGCUCUGGCUACCUGGUGCACCCCUAAGAACCCAAGACCACUUCUUGAUUUAGCAUUCAGAUGUCUUGGGGCUCUGACCCGCCCUACAGUGGGCUUCUGCUCUGAUUGAUUAAGCCUAGUCAUAAUUAGUUUUAUAGAUUUUAAAUUUUAAUCUUGGAAGUACAUUACGGACCAUAGAUUAUUUUGUCUAUAGCAAUAGUAGGAGGAAAGGAAAAGAAGGAACAAAUUUAAGAUACAUUUUGAACAUAAAAUGUAGGGAAUUGACAAUUGAUUUAAUGUGGGAAUAAAGAAGAGUGUUAAAAAUCUGGUCUUUUAAUUUGUGUAAGUAGAUGGUUGGUGAUACCAUUAACUAGAAAUGAGAUAAAGGGCAUACACACUUGGAGAAGGGAAAUAAUGUGCGUAGCCAUACCGAGAUUGAGAUGCCAUUGCAGCAUCCACAAGGAGAUGGUUCAGAAUGAGUUGGAUAUGAGGGUGUGCUGGCAAAUAUUAAACCACUUAUUCUCAAACAAUAAAGAAGAAAGCUCCUUUUUUCUGAAGCAUUUGCUGAUUUCCAUGGUGUAGAUAUUCCCACCAUGUCCAAGUUUAAUACCAAUGUGAUGUCAACAAUGCAGAGUUGGGAAGAGAUGGGCACAAUCUGCUCUUACAAGCCCAUUCCAGCACAUUAUUGGUUGGAUACCUAGGUCUGGAUCUCAGCAUGAGGUCUGAAGAUGAUAGAUAAAUUUGGCAGGCAACAAGCUGUGUAUUUUAAAACCUUUAAACUAUUGAGUUUUGAUUUUUGCUCCAGAACUUGGUAAAUUAAAAAUCUAUAUGUAUUCCAUUUUGCUGCUAAAAGGCCUAUAUAUUGUGCAGAUGUUGUAUGCAGUGUCUAUUUGAUCAGGUUCGUUCAUUUUUUCAAGUUUUCCAUGUUCCUAUUGAAUUCUUUGCUUUCUUACUAAUUACUGAGAGAUGUUUAUUAAAACUUCCUUUUGCUAUGAGUUUGUUUAGUUGUGUACAU